rnacentral:rRNA from 1 species
CCCUUGACAUGUCCAGUAUGGUUUCCAGAGAUGGAUCCUUCAGUUCGGCUGGCUGGAACACAGGUGCUGCAUGGCUGUCGUCAGCUCGUGUCGUGAGAUGUUGGGUUAAGUCCCGCAACGAGCGCAACCCUCAUCCUUAGUUGCCAUCACGUUUGGGUGGGCACUCUAAGGAAACUGCCGGUGGCAAGCCGGAGGAAGGUGGGGAUGACGUCAAGUCCUCAUGGCCCUUACGGGUAGGGCUACGCACGUGCUACAAUGGCAGUGACAAUGGGAUAAUCCCAAAAAGCUGUCUCAGUUCGGAUUGUCGUCUGCAACUCGACGGCAUGAAGGUGGAAUCGCUAGUAAUCGUGGAUCAGCAUGCCACGGUGAAUACGUUCCCGGGCCUU